GGAUUAGGCAUGCAAGUCGAGCGAGAAGCUUGUUUUCGGAUGAGUGGACAGCGGCGAAAGGGAGAGUAACGCGUAGAAAUGUACCCUGGGGCUCGGAAUAGCGGAGAGAAAUUUCCGGUAAUGCCGAAUAAUGUCUUCGGACCAAAGGUUUACCACCUUGGGAGCAGUCUGCGUUCUAUUAGCUUGUUGGUGGGGUAAUGGCUUACCAAGGCAAAGAUGGAUACCGGGCGUGAGAGCGUGACCCGGCUCACUGGGACUGAGACACUGCCCAGACACCUACGGGUGGCUGCAGUCGAGAAUCUUCCGCAAUGGACGAAAGUCUGACGGAGCGACGCCGCGUGCUGGAUGAAGGCCUUCGGGUUGUAAACAGCUGUCAUAGGGGAGGAAAUUUUGACCGAUCCUAAGAGGAAGCACAGGCUAAGUUCGUGCCAGCAGCCGCGGUAACACGAACUGUGCGAACGUUAUUCGGAAUCACUGGGCUUAAAGGGUGCGUAGGCGGUCUUGUAGGUCAGAUGUGAAAUCCCACGGCUCAACCGUGGAAUUGCGUUUGAAACCACAGGACUUGAGUAAGAUAGAGGUAAGCGGAACUGAUGGUGGAGCGGUGAAAUGCGUUGAUAUCAUCAGGAACACCGGUGGCGAAAGCGGCUUACUGGGUCUUUACUGACGCUGAGGCACGAAAGCUAGGGGAGCGAACGGGAUUAGAUACCCCGGUAGUCCUAGCUGUAAACGAUGAGCACUAGCUCGUGCCCCCUCCCACAAGGGCUCGGGCGUAGCGAAAGUGUUAAGUGCUCCGCCUGGGGGAGUAUGGUCGCAAGGCUGAAACUCAAAGGGAAUUGACGGGGGGCUCACACAAGCGGUGGAGGGAUGUGGGCUUAAAUUCGAGGGCUACGCGAAGAAUCYUUACCUAGGCUUAACAUGUUUGGGAAUCUCUGUGAAAGSAGAGAGUGCCUUUCGGGGAACCCUUACGUAGGUGCUGCAUGSCUGUCGUCAGGCUCGUGUCGUGAGAUGUCGGGUUAAGUCCCUUAACGAGCGAAACCCUUAUCCCUAGUUGCCAGCGAGUCAAGUCGGGGACUCUAGGGAGACUGCCGGUGUUAAACCGGAGGAAGGUGGGGAUGACGUCAAGUCCUCAUGGCCUUUAUGCCUAGGGCUGCACACGUCCUACAAUGCAACAUACAAAGGGAUGCAAAAUCGCGAGAUCAAGCAAAUCCCAGAAAGUGUUGCUCAGUUCGGAUUGCAGGCUGAAAUUCGCCUGCAUGAAGCCGGAAUCGCUAGUAAUCGCGGGUCAGCAUACCGCGGUGAAUGUGUUCCUGAGCCUUGUACACACCGCCCGU
rnacentral:rRNA from 1 species